rnacentral:rRNA from 1 species
UACGUAGGGGGCAAGCGUUGUCCGGAAUUACUGGGCGUAAAGGGCGCGUAGGCGGCUUUUCAAGUCGGGCGUGAAAUCUCCGGGCUUAACCCGGAAGGGUCGUUCGAUACUGUUGAGCUAGAGUGUGGAAGAGGCAACUAGAAUUCCGUGUGUAGCGGUGAAAUGCGUAGAUAUACGGAGGAAUACCUGAGGCGAAGGCGGGUUGCUGGGCCAACACUGACGCUGAGGCGCGAAAGCCAGGGGAGCAAACGGG